ACGGGUGAGUAACACGUGGGAACGUACCCUUCGGUUCGGAAUAACGCUGGGAAACUAGCGCUAAUACCGGAUACGCCCUUAUGGGGAAAGGUUUACUGCCGAAGGAUCGGCCCGCGUCUGAUUAGCUAGUUGGUGGGGUAAUGGCCUACCAAGGCGACGAUCAGUAGCUGGUCUGAGAGGAUGAUCAGCCACACUGGGACUGAGACACGGCCCAGACUCCUACGGGAGGCAGCAGUGGGGAAUAUUGGACAAUGGGCGCAAGCCUGAUCCAGCCAUGCCGCGUGAGUGAUGAAGGCCUUAGGGUUGUAAAGCUCUUUUGUCCGGGACGAUAAUGACGGUACCGGAAGAAUAAGCCCCGGCUAACUUCGUGCCAGCAGCCGCGGUAAUACGAAGGGGGCUAGCGUUGCUCGGAAUCGCUGGGCGUAAAGGGCGCGUAGGCGGCCAUUCAAGUCGGGGGUGAAAGCCUGUGGCUCAACCACAGAAUUGCCUUCGAUACUGUUUGGCUUGAGUAUGGCAGAGGUUAGUGGAACUGCGAGUGUAGAGGUGAAAUUCGUAGA
rnacentral:rRNA from 1 species